UCCUACGGGUGGCAGCAGUGAGGAAUAUUGCACAAUGGGCGCAAGCCUGAUGCAGCAACGCCGCGUGAGGGACGAAGGCCUUCGGGUUGUAAACCUCUUUUCUGGGGAACGAGCAAGGACGGUACCUCAGGAAUAAGUCUCGGCUAACUACGUGCCAGCAGCCGCGGUAAAACGUAGGAGGCGAGCGUUAUCCGGAUUUACUGGGCGUAAAGCGCGCGCAGGCGGCUUCGUAAGUGGGACGUGAAAGCUCCUGGCUUAACUGGGAGAGGCCGUUCGAUACUGCGGGGCUUGAGGUUGGGAGAGGGGUGUGGAAUUCCCGGUGUAGUGGUGGAAUGCGUAGAUAUCGGGAGGAACACCUGUGGCGAAAGCGGCACCCUGGCCCACACCUGACGCUGAGGUGCGAAAGCGUGGGGAGCAAACAGGAUUAGAUACCCCGGUAGUCAA
rnacentral:rRNA from 1 species